rnacentral:rRNA from 1 species
GUCCACGCCGUAACGAUGUCUACUAGCCGUUGGGAGACUUGAUUUCUUAGUGGCGCAGCUAACGCAAUAAGUAGACCGCCUGGGGAGUACGGCCGCAAGGUUAAACUCAAAUGAAUUGACGGGGCCCGCACAAGCGGUGGAGCAUGUGGUUUAAUUCGAUGCAACGCGAAGAACCUUACCAGGUCUUGACAUCCUCGGAACUUGGCAGAGAUGCCUUGGUGCCUUCGGGAACCGAGAGACAGGUGCUGCAUGGCUGUCGU